CCGUCGCAGGACCGCAAAGGAGUUCAAAGAGCAGGAGAAAAAGAAGAGGAAGCAGUGUAUUUUCUGCUGAAAAGCAGAGAUUCAACUUAAGGUACAUAGGAAAGUUUCAAGUGUUAAAUAUAUAAGUACAUAAGAAUUGUCCGAUAAGUGCUCUCUUGUGGGAAGGAUUCUACAAUAAGACUAUGGGACGUAGGAACUGGAAGGCUUGUAAAGCGGCAUUUGGGAGCAGUUCACAGUAAUUUACGCUGCCAGGCUUGGAAAGCAGCCGCAUAAAGAAUUCAUUGAUCACGACAAGGAUGGUGAGAGAAUUGAAUUUCUUCCCCCAACAUCUUCAUCUGGGAUUAUGAAUAGAGCCAUGAAUGAGAUAACAUGGUGGCAGGAUUAGAAAGAAGAUAAGAGAAAUCUCUGUUUGGAUUUAUGGGAUUUGGAGAUGUUAAAGGGUUGGAAAGCGGGUGGCAGGAUAUAGAAGAAUGACGAGGGUUACCUUCCUCAAUGAUUUUUGGGUUGGACAAUAGUGGAAAAAGCAAGAUGUGAGCUUUAGAGGUCUUUUUAUGUCGAGACUAUGUUGUUACCCACCCAGUUAGUUGUAUGGUGAUAUAUUUUUAGUUUAAUUUUUCUGUAUACGGUUUAUGACUUAUCAGACCUAUUUUUUUUGCAUGAUUUUUAAUUUUCUUAUGAUUACAAUUGUCAAUGAGAUACAUUUAUGAAUUAUGUGAAUUGAAUAUUA